GUAAACUCUCCUUGUACUUUGCUCUCUUUCUUUAGCUUGCCCAUGGUGAUGUGAAGAUGAGAAGAAAUAGCAAGGCCCAACCAGUUCUUCAUCUGGAGACAGUUCAACGUUCUGCAAACCAGAUCUUCAGGAAUUUUACUGGGAUAAUUAUCCAAAUAAAUUGCAAGCAUUCUAUCCAAAUGGAGCUCUUUCUGAGAUGAAGAGAAUUCUCAAUGUCAAGAUUUGAACAAGAAGAGAAUGGAAUACACAAUAUGGACAUCCAUAAAAAUUCAUCAGAGAGCAUUUUACUACUGAGCUGCAAAGGGAAAAACUUAAAAUGGAUAUGAAAAGUGAAGAAAGUGAUCAUAGGAGAAAACCAUUUCAGGUGUCUGAUGAUUUGUGAGCCUCAAGUGACUACUCUGUGGAAUCAUCUGUCCUUGCCUUUGAAUUAGCUUUCCCUAGGCCAUGAGUCAACAUUAGUAGUUUAUACAUCCAAAUUGAUGACAAGAGCACCUCAAAGGCAGCAGCCUCAAGGAGCAGCCAUGGCCCCAGACUUGUCGCACGGAUGCAGAAAACUUAAUGGAGGAGGCUGAGCAAAACAGAGCGUGACACUCCCAAUCAUCUGCAUGCUGGAAAUGAGGAAAUGGUUAUUGAAUGAUACAAGUGCUUUUCGAUCAUUUAGAAAGUUCUGUUUCCCAAGAUCUUUUUUUUUUUUUUUUUUUUUGAGACGGUGUCUUGCUCUGUCACCCAGGCUGGAGUGCAGUGGCGCGAUCUCGGCUCACCACAACCUCCACCUCCUGGGUUCAAGCGAUUCUCCUGCCUCAGCCUCCCGCGUGGCUGAGACUACAGGCAUGUGCCACCAUGCCCGGCUAAUUUUUGUAUUUUUAGUAGAGACAGGGUUUCACUAUGUUGGCCAGGCUGGUCUCAAACUCCUGACCUCGUGAUCCGCCCGCCUUGGACUCCCAAAGUGCUGGGAUUACAGUUGUGAGCCACUGUGCCCGGCCUAGCAAGAUCACUUUUUAAGUAUCCAGAAAGCUCUUUCUUAUGUUGAAUUAUGUCCAGAGGCAUAACUAGACUGAAGGUUUAGACUCCAUUCAUUCUCCUAUGUUUUUGUUCUUAACUGCAUUCUGCAGUCAAAUCAGGAGCUUUAGAAAAUACUGAUGCCUGGCUCUCAACCAGAGAGAACUGAACUGAAUUGGUCUGGUGAAUUCAUUAAAAGAGCUAACAACAAUGAAGUUAAUGUACGCAUCUCACCUCUCAAGAGUAUUAACAGGCCAGGCGUGUUGGCUCAUACCUGUAAUCCCAGCACUUUGGGAGGCCAAGGCGGGCGGAUCACCCAAGGUAAGUUCAAGACCAGCCUGACCAACAUGGUGAAACCCCGUCUCUAUUAAAAAUACAAAAUUAGCCAGGCAUGGUGGUGCAUCCCUGUAAUCCCAGCUACUCGGCACCUGAGGCACAAGAAUUGCUUGAACCCGGGAGGCAGAGGUUGCGGUGAGCUGAGAUCCUGCCAUUGUACUCCAGCGUGGGCAACAAGAAUGAAACUCUGUCUCAAAAAAAUAAAUAAAUAAAAAUAAGUAUUAACACAUGGGAAAUCAUAAAGUUUUCAUUCUGAGCAGUGUGUCUUUGAAUGUUUUGACCACGCAGAGAUGGGAUUAUCAUGGUAAAAUCCACUCUAUGGAUUUACCAUAAUCUUGGUGGUAACGUGUUAACAGAAGCAAUAUUUAUUAUGAGAGUUAAAGUUUCAUUUGGUUUAGGUUCAUAUUUUCUUUCUCCUGUCAGUCUGCAAUGGCUCCCUAACAUAAUUCCAGAGAGCAUAUGAUGUGCUAGGCUCUGUGUAGGGGACAGGAGCACAGUGGUAAACCAACGUAAAG
rnacentral:lncRNA from 10 species